CACAUACUGUGUGCGUUGUCCAACCUCAGUUCUCUUGUGCCCGGUAUCCCCUGAGACUUCUGAGUUAAAUUAGAAGAGAGAGAAGUUGCUGAGAAUUCUAUAAUAGGUAGUAAUGGUGACAGUACUGAUUUAUCAGCUAGAAAAGCAAAGAAGCGGGCAUUUAAGUUAGAGGAGGAUGAAGAAAUUGAACUAGGUUACAAAUAUUCAAAGACAUACUGGAAGAGGCGAGAGAACAAUAGUAAUAAUGAGAAGGCCUUGGAUCUAGAGCCAAAAGCUAUCAUAGAUCAGACUGUGAGGAAAAAAAGUAAGAGAAAAAACAAAGCAACAUGUGGUGUAGUGGAUGAUGGUGAUGAAGAAACCAAAAGAAAAUCACCAAAGAAAAAGGAGAAAUGUGAAUAUAAAAAAAAGACGAAGAAUCCCAAGUCUCCAAAAGCGCAGGCAGUAAAAGAGCGGACCAUCCAGAGCUGUAGUCCUCCAAAAGGUUCUGCUAGAAACAGCCUUGCUAAAGUCAGAAAGAAAGGUGGUGUAGGCGUUUGUUCAAAAGAUAGUCCCAGUUCCUCCUCGGAGUCUGAGUCUUCUCAUGAAUCCGCCAGCGAUGUUCUCAGUAAUGCCACUUUGAAGGUCAGAAAUUCCUCAGAGAAAGUAUCAGCUGAGUUAUCAAAGGAAGGACCCUCUACAAAAAACCCAGCUGCAAACAAACUGGCUACAAAAGCUGGCUUUAACCUUACCCCCAGCAAGGACAAGACCUCAUCAUCUUCUAGUUCAGACUCUAGUUCAGAGUCAGAUGACCAGUGCAUGAUAUCAAAGACAACCCCGGAGCGUGCUGCCAGUUUCUUAAAGACCGUAGGCCUCUUUGCAGGAAGAGGUUGUCCUGGUCCAGGGUCAUCGUCACAGUCUCCAAGUGCUGCUGGGUGGAAGCAUUCUGACUUAAACUGUGGCAGACAAGCUCCUGGUCCUCCUUCCAACACGUCUCUCCCCACUAAUUUAGGAAGAGGAUGGGGUAGAGGAGAGGACCUUCUCUCUUGGAAGGGAGCUAGGGGUCGGGGCAUGUGUGGGAGAGGGCGAGGACGAGGGCAGGCUGUUUCUAGUCUUCUAAAUAGAAACACUGAAUACCAGAAGCAGCAGCAGUUAAAUGAAACAAUAACAAACUCAUCUACUAUUAUCCAGAAUCCAGUAGAGAGACACAAGAAGGACUAUACUCUGUUACCACUGCUGGCAGCUGCCCCUCAAGUUGGAGAAAAGAUUGCAUUUAAGCUUUUGGAACUAACAUCUGAUUACUCUCCUGAUGUCUCUGACUAUAAGGAAGGAAAAAUAUUAAGCCACAAUCCAGAAACUUAGCAAGUAGACAUAGAAAUUCUUUCAUCUUUACCUGCUGUGAAGGAACCUGGGAAAUUUGAUUUGGUUUAUCACAACGAAAAUGGAACCGAGGUAGUGGAGUAUGCUGUGACACAGGAGAGGAAGAUCACCGUUUUCUGGAGAGAGUUGAUUGAUCCAAGACUGAUUAUUGAAUCUCCGAGUAAAACAUCAAGUAAAGAACUUGUCUGAGUAUGACCUCUCCACCUCUUGGUUUAUAAAUGUCUUAUUUGUGAAACUGACUAUAACCAGAACUUUUUUUUUUUUAAAAAAAGAGGAUUUGAAAGUUGUAUGGAUUUUUUUUUGUUACCUUCAC